rnacentral:rRNA from 1 species
UGGCGACGGGUGAGUAACGCGUGGGGAACCUGCCCUGUACAGGGGGAUAACACUUAGAAUAGGUGCUAAUACCGCAUAAGCGCACAGUAUCGCAUGAUACAGUGUGAAAAACUCCGGUGGUACAGGAUGGACCCGCGUCUGAUUAGCUGGUUGGCGGGGUAACGGCCCACCAAGGCGACGAUCAGUAGCCGGCCUGAGAGGGUGAACCGGCCACAUUGGGACUGAGACACGGCCCAAACUCCUACGGGAGGCAGCAG